AUUGAACGCUGGCGGCAUGCCUUACACAUGCAAGUCGAACGGCAGCACGGGAGCAAUCCUGGUGGCGAGUGGCGAACGGGUGAGUAAUAUAUCGGAACGUGCCCAGUCGUGGGAUAACGUAGCGAAAGCUACGCUAAUACCGCAUACGAUCUAUGGAUGAAAGCGGGGGAUCGCAAGACCUCGCGCGAUUGGAGCGGCCGAUAUCAGAUUAGGUAGUUGGUGAGGUAAAGGCUCACCAAGCGACGAUCUGUAGCUGGUCUGAGAGGACGACCAGCCACACUGGGACUGAGACAC
rnacentral:rRNA from 1 species